UACGUAGGGGGCAAGCGUUGUCCGGAAUCAUUGGGCGUAAAGAGCGUGUAGGCGGCCCGGUAAGUCCGCCGUGAAAGUCCAGGGCUCAACCCCGGGCGUGCGGUGGAUACUGCCGGGCUAGAGGGUGGUAGAGGCGAGUGGAAUUCCCGGUGUAGCGGUGAAAUGCGCAGAUAUCGGGAGGAACACCAGUAGCGAAGGCGGCUCGCUGGGCCAUUCCUGACGCUGAGACGCGAAAGCUAGGGGAGCGAACAGG
rnacentral:rRNA from 1 species